rnacentral:lncRNA from 1 species
GUUAGAGUAUGGUCAUCACCAUUGGUCAAAAAAUGAGCAAAACAAAACAAAACCAAUCACACAAAGUAUGGGCACUCAACAAUGAUGUCAUGAAAGUCCAAAUCCCUAAUCAUCUUGAGGAUGUUGACAAUAGUAUGUGCCUCUGGUGAACGAGCACCAAAUGCACCAUCAAGCUGUCAAGCACACGCAUCAUGUCCUUACAGUCACGAACCACUGCUCCAAAGGUCGCCGCUUGCUUCUUAGCCCACCAUGCCACAUCGACAUUGAUCUUGAAACGCUCACCAUUUAAGGCCUCCCACCUUUCAGUACUUGAUCCCCUAAGCAGCAACGAUACGCAUAAGAGGCUAUGCACCCUGAAGCCCUUAUGGACAGUGCGAGCGUGAAUCAAAGCAUCUUGUGGAGAUAUAGUCUUUCUCUGAAUGAUCCCAAAAUUCCUAGCUUCCCAGAGCUGCCAUAGGAACAAUAAAAGGCUUGUGAAAUCCUCCUUCUCAAGCUUCCUCGUAGCAAACUUCAGUCAAUCAAUCACCCUACAAAAAGAAGCACAAUAAGUUAUUUCAAUACCACACAAAAUCAGUACCUCAUUCGAGAAAGGACAAUCAUAGAUGUCAUGCACAAUAUCCUCUCUCAAACCACCACAUCUCCUAUACCGAGGAUCAUUAGAAGGAGCUAAAGGCUAGGUUGAGGCUUGAUUUAAAAAUUUUCUAGUCCCACACCC